GCGCACAAUUGCCAUUCGAGUCCCCCGCUCCUAACUAUUUUCCUCCUGACACCCUUCUUCUUCGAGUCCCUCAGCGGCAGCGCAAGCCCCCUCCAACCCUAUCCCUCCGCCGCACCAGGCCGAUGCCGCCGCCCGCCGAUGAUGAUUGGCGAGCUCCUAGAGGAUCUACUCCUUACUUCCUUAGACAGUAGCCGCUGAUACAGCACGCCGCCCGCCCGACCGCGAACCCCCUUGCAACGGCGACGUAUCCAUGACCACGGUGAUCACUUUGGAGCUGUAGCCAUUUUUUUGCGACAAAGCUGUAGAAGAAAUUUAGAUGCCAAACCAGAUCAAGUUUGAGAUCCAGUGAUGGAGGGGAGCAGUGCGACGUUGCCUUUAGUAAAGCUGAUAGUUCCAAUUAUCUCAGCAUGUGCACCAGCACUAUCAGCCAUGGAAUUUGUCAGCAGUGCUCAAAAUCAACAUUAAUUCCUCAAUGCUUCUCAUUGAUGAUUCCAGUAUACCGAAAAAGAAACAAUCAUUCUCUCAAGAGGACAAGAAGCUCGAUGAACAAGAAGCAUUGCAUCUAGAGGCAACUGUCGUGUGCCAUCAAGAUAUCAACGUUGAUGCAAUUUUUAAUGGCAAUUCUUGUUGAGCAAUGAUUAUUAUACUCCUUCAGACUUAGCCUUGCCCGUUAUGUACCAAAGCUGAUGCAAUUUUCACUAGCAAGGCUUGUUGAUCCUGUCAUGUUAUUUAUAACUUGAUAUGAAUGUAUUUUGUUAUGUCUGGGAUGUUCCACUUUGACAUGUACUAAACAAAUUAGUAUUUGUGCCUGGAAUGGUCCAUUUUAACAUAAAGUGCCUGUGCCUAUGAUGGUGGCUUAAUUUUUGUCA